rnacentral:rRNA from 1 species
GCCUAGAGAGGGGCUUGCGUCUGAUUAGCUAGUUGGURAGGUAAGAGCYYACCAAGGCGACGAUCAGUAGCUGGUCUGAGAGGAUGAUCAGCCACACUGGGACUGAGACACGGCCCAGACUCCUACGGGAGGCAGCAGUGGGGAAUUUUCCGCAAUGGGCGAAAGCCUGACGGAGCAAGACCGCGUGGGGGAGGAAGGUUCUUGGAUUGUCAACCCCUUUUCUCAGGGAAGAACACAAUGACGGUACCUGAGGAAAAAGCAUCGGCUAACUCCGUGCCAGCAGCCGCGGUAAUACGGGGGAUGCAAGCGUUAUCCGGAAUGAUUGGGCGUAAAGAGUCCGUAGGUAGUCAUCCAAGUCUGCUGUUAAAGAGCGAGGCUUAACCUCGUAAAGGCAGUGGAAACUGGAAGACUAGAGUGUAGUAGGGGCAGAGGGAAUUCCUGGUGUAGCGGUGAAAUGCGUAGAGAUCAGGAAGAACACCGGUGGCGAAGGCG